GUUCCCAUACCGAACACGGAAGUUAAGCUUCUCAGCGCCGAUGGUAGUUGGGACUUUGUCCCUGUGAGAGUAGGACGUUGCCAGGC
rnacentral:rRNA from 1 species